rnacentral:rRNA from 1 species
AGGGCCCUGUAUAGUUGGUUUUAGGUUGGGGCGACCACGGAGUACAACCAAACCUCCGCAAUGGACGGGACCACUCCCUUAUCUAAGAGCCACACCUCUAAGAAUUAAAACACUAACAUAAAAUGAUCCAUGAUCUGAUCAAUGAACCAAGUUACCCUGGGGAUAACAGCGCAAUCCAUUUCAAGAGCCCUUAUCGACAAGUGGGUUUACGACCUCGAUGUUGGAUCAGGGUAUCCUAGUGGUGCAGCAGCUACUAAUGGUUCGUUUGUUCAACGAUUAA